GGAGAGGUCGCAUAGUUGGCCUAGUGCGCCCGCUUGGAAAGCGGGUAUACCGCAAGGUAUCGUGGGUUCGAAUCCCACCCUCUCCG
rnacentral:tRNA from 1 species